rnacentral:rRNA from 1 species
AUUGAACGCUGGCGGCAGGCCUAACACAUGCAAGUCGAACGAGUGGCGGACGGGUGAGUAAUGUCUGGGAAACUGCCCGAUGGAGGGGGAUAACUACUGGAAACGGUAGCUAAUACCGCAUACCAUCGGAUGUGCCCAGAUGGGAUUAGCUAGUAGGGGGGGUAAUGGCUCACCGAGGCGACGAUCCCUAGCUGGUCUGAGAGGAUGACCAGCCACACUGGGACUGAGACACGGUCCAGACUCCUACGGGAGGCAGCAGUGGGGAAUAUUGCACAAUGGGCGCAAGCCUGAUCCAGCCAUGCCGCGUGUAUGAAGAAGGCCUUCGGGUUGUAAAGUACUUUUAGCGGGGAGGCGUUACCUGCAGAAUAAGCACCGGCUAACUCCGUGCCAGCAGCCGCGGUAAUUC